rnacentral:lncRNA from 1 species
AUCGGAUAAAACAAACAAUUUUUUUUUUAAAAAUUAUAAUAAUACAGAUGGCUUGAAAAAUGAUGAUAAUGGAACUAAUAAAAGUAAUAAUAAUAAUAAUAAUAGUUAUUGUAAUUUAAAAAAAAAAGAACCUUUUCCAUCAAAUAUAUAUAUCUAUGAUAACAAUUGCUAUAAAUGUGUUAGCUGUGAAGCUAUAUGCACGCAUGUAUAUUAUAUAUUAAAACCAAACACAUUGAAAAAAAUAUCCUAUGGCGUUUUAGAUAAAUGUAUAUGGUGUAGUACGUGUUUUUAUUCAAAUAAAUACCCAAGUAUUUUAAAUAGUUGUAAUUUUACUAAGGUUAAUAUACCAUAUGAUUUUUUUAAAAAUCCUAGUGAUAACUGCUUUAAUAAUAAACACAUGAAAAAAAGUAAUAGACAAAAUAAAAAUCCAAACGACAUGAACAGUUUUACCGAUAAUUGGAGUACAUCAGAUAUAGAAAAAUUAAUUGAAGGUGUUUAUAAAUAUGAAAAUGAUUGGAAUAAGAUAAGUGAGUUGGUAAAAAAUAAAUCAGCAUACGAAUGUAUAUAUAAAUUUAUUUCUAUGCCUUUAUCAAACCCAUAUUUUGAUAUAAACAACUUGCUGAAUGUUAAUAAUUUAUCAUUUGUUUCAUAUAAACAAAAUAAUACACUUCUUUUUUUACUUUCAUUUAUAAGUAAUAACAUAAGCCCAUAUAUCGGUGCUUAUGCAGCUAAAAAAAUUGUAGACUUCAUUAUAAACAUUCAAAAACAGCACCUACAAGAAAGUAAAAGCGAAAAUAAAUUAAAUACAGAAACAGAAACAGUAACAGAAACAGAAACAGAAACAGAAACAGUAACAGAAACAGUAACAGUAACAGCUCCUAUUACUACUAAUAUCAACGAACAAACAAAUAAGCAAGUGGAUGUUCAAGGGAAUAUUGAGCAAAUAGACGAGAAGAAGAAGGGGGACGAGAACGUGGUAGUAGUAGCCCCAUAUGUUGAUAAAUUCGGAGAAAAGGAGACGAGUAAAAUAGUUAAACAGGAAGAAGAAAAUGAUAAAAAACAGGAGGAUAAAGGUUGUUGGCAGAACGAACAAAACGGAGAAGACAAAGACAAAGACAAAGACAAACAAACGAAAAAAGAAGAUACAAACACAAAUCAUAACAAUGAUAUGAAUUCUGUACCUGAUUAUAAGUCAUUAAAUGUUAAUAACCACUUGAAAAAUAACAAAACAAGUACUUAUAUUUUGAAGGAAAAGGAUAUGCAAGAAAUAUACGAAACGAUUAUUAAAGCAUCCCAAAAAGGUGCUAGACAAUUAGAAGAGUUAGAAAAACAUAAUAUAAAAAAAUUAUUACAAGAACUAGCUAUAAUAAGCACGAAAAAAAUAAAAUUAAAACUACAACAGUACAAAUACUUGCAACAUUAUUUUGAAAUACAAAAUAAGUUAAGGGUAUCUUCUGACAAAUAGGUGCAAAUACACAAACACAUACACAUACAGCUUGUACCGUGU